AUUCCAGCUCCAAUAGCGUAUAUUAAAGUUGUUGCAGUUAAAAAGCUCGUAGUUGGAUCUCGGGAGCGAGCGAGCGGUCGGGCGUUCAGCCGUGUACUUCUCACUCAUCCUACUGACCGGUACGUGCCCUGUGCUCUUAACCGAGUGUAGGGACCGUCUGGUGCGUUUACUUUGAAAAAAUUAGAGUGCUCAAAGCAGACGAGUCGUCUGAAUAGGUUAGCAUGGAAUAAUAGAAUAGGACUUUGGUUCUAUUUUGUUGGUUUCUAGGACCGAAGUAAUGAUUAAUAGGGACAGUUGGGGGCACUCAUAUUCCAAUGUCAGAGGUGAAAUUCUUGGAUUAUCGGAAGAUGAACUUCUGCGAAAGCAUCUGCCAAGGAUGUUUUCAUCA
rnacentral:rRNA from 1 species